rnacentral:rRNA from 1 species
GACGAACGCUGGCGGCGUGCUUAACACAUGCAAGUCGAACGGUGAAGCUCCAGCUUGCUGGAGUGGAUCAGUGGCGAACGGGUGAGUAACACGUGAGCAACCUGCCCCUGACUCUGGAAUAAGCGCUGGAAACGGCGUCUAAUACUGGAUACGAGAAGGGUCCGCAUGGGCACUUUCUGGAAAGUUUUUCGGUUGGGGAUGGGCUCGCGGCCUAUCAGCUUGUUGGUGAGGUAAUGGCUCACCAAGGCGACGACGGGUAGCCGGCCUGAGAGGGCGUCCGGCCACACUGGGACUGAGACACGGCCCAGACUCCUACGGGAGGCAGCAGUGGGGAAUAUUGCACAAUGGGCGAAAGCCUGAUGCAGCGACGCCGCGUGAGGGAUGACGGCCUUCGGGUUGUAAACCUCUUUCAGCAGGGAAGAAGCGAAAGUGACGGUACCUGCAGAAGAAGCACCGGCUAACUACGUG